UCCGGAUUUAUUGGGCGUAAAGCGAGCGCAGGCGNUUAGAUAAGUCUGAAGUUAAAGGCUGUGGCUUAACCAUAGUACGCUUUGGAAACUGUUUAACUUGAGUGCAGAAGGGGAGAGUGGAAUUCCAUGUGUAGCGGUGAAAUGCGUGGAUAUAUGGAGGAACACCGGUGGCGAAAGCGGCUCUCUGGUCUGUAACUGACGCUGAGGCUCGAAAGCGUGGGGAGCGAACAGGAUUAGAUACCCUGGUAGUCCACGCCGUAAACGAUGAGUGCUAGGUGUUAGGCCCUUUCCGGGGCUUAGUGCCGCAGCUAACGCAUUAAGCACUCCGCCUGGGGAGUACGACCGCAAGGUUGAAACUCAAAGGAAUUGACGGGGGCCCGCACAAGCGGUGGAGCAUGUGGUUUAAUUCGAAGCAACGCGAAGAACCUUACCAGGUCUUGACAUCCCGAUGCCCGCUCUAGAGAUAGAGUUUUACUUCGGUACAUCGGUGACAGGUGGUGCAUGGUUGUCGUCAGCUCGUGUCGUGAGAUGUUGGGUUAAGUCCCGCAACGAGCGCAACCCUUAUUGUUAGUUGCCAUCAUUCAGUUGGGCACUCUAGCGAGACUGCCGGUAAUAAACCGGAGGAAGGUGGGGAUGACGUCAAAUCAUCAUGCCCCUUAUGACCUGGGCUACACACGUGCUACAAUGGCUGGUACAACGAGUCGCAAGUCGGUGACGGCAAGCUAAUCUCAUAAAGCCAGUCUCAGUUCGGAUUGUAGGCUGCAACUCGCCUACAUGAAGUCGGAAUCGCUAGUAAUCGCGGAUCAGCACGCCGCGGUGAAUACGUUCCCGGGCCUUGUACACACCGCCCGUCACACCACGAGAGUUUGUAACACCCGAAGUCGGUGAGGUANCCUUUUAGGA
rnacentral:rRNA from 1 species